GUAUUUUAAUUUUUAUCUUAUUAAGACAGAACUUUUUCAUUCUGUCUUGAGUAUAUUUUCGAACAAAAGGGCAAGGGGGCUGCUUGUGCCUUGGGACUUUGCAUGCUGUGUGGUGACUGUCUUUCCAUUUGGAAUAUCCUGUAGCAUCUCUGUGAUGGCUCCUGGUGCUGGACUUGAUGGAGCAAUGGGCAGGUGAGAAGUGGGCCUAUCCUGGAGCUUCCAGCGGAGAAAUUCAGGAUAGUGUCUGCACUUGGAUGCAGUAAGUGUUGAAGAGAAAAGGAAGGAGAAAGUAAGGGGACAAAAAGCUCCAUGCCAGCCCCUGGCAUAGCUCCCAGGACGGCACUCCGACCACUGCCACCAAGAUCCAAGUGGAAUCGAGGUGGCCAAGUUCUGUGGGAAGGGUUGCCAGUGUUCCUGCUGCUGGGAUGCUCAGCUAGAUGAUGCUUAUCCAUGAUGAUGAUGGUCCAUGGACGCCCUUUACAGUUGGAUGUAAACUUCCCUGGAGAGGCACCUCACAAAGAAAUAAGUGCAUGGCCAUAUGAUAUUUUAAACAAGAAGUGACAUGCUUGUUGAAAACCACAUUGGAAGAGCAUCAAUUUGGCCACAUGCAGAAGGGACUAAAGAGAAACCUGGAGGAACAAGGAGGAGUGGGCAGUUGGCAGCCGUUCGAGGGCACCAUCAUCCGCUGUGCACCGUCUGGACGGGGAAGUGCAGGGUUGCAGAGCCAUGGAUGUAGCAUGGAAGGCCAAUUCAGCGACUGGACGGCAUGGUCUGUCUUAUCCUACUUCUUCGGGAUUCUGGCGUACACUGAAGACCAGCUGAGACAUCCAGCCUCAUGGACCGAAC